CCUGGUUGAUCCUGCCAGUGUUAUACGAUUUUCCCAGGACUAAGCCACGCAAGUGUAGUAUGAGUGAGUUAUACUACGAAACUGGGAAUGGGUCGGUAAAACAGCUAUAGUUUCUUCGGUGGUAAAUACUGCUCGGAUACCUGUAGAAAUUCUAGAGCUAAUAAGUGCUAUAAAAGCGGCGCUUGUGCCGUGGUAAUAAUUGGAGAUACAAGCCAAUGUUUGGUGAUUCACAAUUUUUUUUCUGAUUGCACAUGAGUGCGACGCACCGUUCAAAUUUCUGACCUAUCAACUUUGGAUGGUAAGGUAUUCGCUUAUCAUGAUUAUGACGAGUAACGAACCGUGGGUGCGAGAGUCUGGAGAGGGAGCAUUAGAAACGGCUACCACAUCCGAGGAAGGUAGCAGGCUUGUAAAUUACCCAAUCCGAGCACCGGGAGGUAGUGAAAAGAAAAAAAUAGAGGGCCCAACGGGUUUUCCAAUUGGAUUUAGAAUAAGGUAAACAGCUUAUCGAGGUGCCACAAGAGGGCAACUCUGGUGCCAGCAGCCGCGGUAAUACCAGUUCUGUAAGCGUAUACCAAAGUUGUUGCAGUUAAAACUCUGUUAGUCGGAGUUUAGCGGGCGGGCUGGGCCCUUAGAUGUUCUGGGCCGCAUGCGUGCCGCACUGAGCGGUUCAAGGGUGACGGUCUGCGAGAGCGCUUCCGAAUCUCUAAAUCACUCUUGGUUGGAAUCGAGGCUUGCAAUUUUCCUCUUGAACGAGGAAUACCUUGUAAGCAUGGUCAUCAUCCCGUGCUGAAUACGUCCCUGCCCUUUGUACACACCGCCCGUCGCUCCUACCGAUUGAGUGGUCCGGUGAGGCCUUGGAGAGGAAAGAUGGACUGUGUUUCACGGACCGUCUGGCUCAAACUUGGUCAAACCUUAUCACUUAGAGGAAGGAGAAGUCGUAACAAGGUUUCCGUAGGUGAACCUGCGGAAGGAUCAUUC
rnacentral:rRNA from 1 species